ACCAUAAAAUGUAGUAAUAACAACAAGUAGUAGAAAUAAUAGGACAAUGUUUAUUAUACAGUAGACGUUUUAAAAUAAUGUAUUUUAGGACACCUGUUAGCUGCUCUUUGACAAGGAGUGCCCUACACAAAACAUUUGGCUUCAUACUAAAUGUAUUUGUCACUAGGCUGAGGGUGAUAUUUCACAGAGGCCGACAGAAAUCAAUAGAUAUGACGUAGCCAAGCAAAAUGGGCUCCCUGACUGCAGGGCAGCAUCAGAUACAUCACCAUGACAACAGAAGGCUUGUGUUUUUAAUUACUUUCUUCUCUAUUAAAACAAUAAAAAACAAAUAGUACUUCAGCAGCUUCAAGGAAAAAAAAACUUUAUUUAACCACAUACUGUAUUUAAACUCAGAAAAGAGACUAUUAGACAAUUAAAAUUGUUUCAAACUGCUUCACCAUUGAAUUAGAACAUACUGUAUAAAAAGUUACCAAUGAGGCCAUUUAGGCCCAUAUAGGGCAUUUGGUUGCCAGUAGCUAACUGAUCUGAAGAUCUCAUCCAGCUGUUUCCUGAAAGAAGCCAGGGUAUCAGCUUCAACAACAUGGCUGAGUAGCUUCUUCCACAUCUCAAUUUUUAGACUCUGUGAGGUCUCUUUCCAGGUUCUUCUCUCACCAUUUCCUUAGCAUAGGACGCCUGUGAGAGAGUGACACGCCGUAAGCUUCCUUUGGGACUCGCACUGCCUAUCAGCCCCCAGGCAGUGGCAGUUUAGGCCCAGUGCCCAGUCAGGGAAAGAGCACAACCUUCUACAGUACAUUUUUCCAGUUUCGUGUGAAUAGCAAGUGUAGUAAAGCUGGAGGGGAGCUGGCCUGGUCUGGCCAGUCUGGAGUGUGUGUUGCACUGGCACUGGGAAGCCCUGCUGGAUCCUGUUCUCACGCCAGGGUAGGUGCUCCAUGAAGAAGGACACAGGUCAGGGCUCCCGCUGCUUGUUAAACUACAGCUCUGUCCAAGAACACUCUGAUUCAGACUCCUCUGCUGGGUCUGCAAGGAUUUUUGCACGGGAAGACGGCGCGUGCCGAACGCUAGGACAGCUCUCGACGAGACACGAGACGCUGCGGUGGCCGCACGCAUCUGCUCCCACUCCCCCGUUCGAAACAGAUCGAGUGCGGAAGAGGUUAAGCAAAUCUCUACCAGUUUGCGUCAGUUUCACCUCUCAAGGGCAUCGGUUUUAUCAGCCGCUACACACGGUGCUGUGCUUGGUAUAAGGAACACGAUGAGCAAAGCAAGAUGAAAGCCUUACUGAGAUGCUAAAGAUUUACUGUCACUCUGGUGUAAAGGAUAAAUUAUGCCAAGCAACAGACAAGCUAAUUUUUUCCAUGUAAUAAAAUCCUGUAUUUUGUGUCCCUA
rnacentral:lncRNA from 1 species